rnacentral:misc_RNA from 1 species
AGUAUUCUCCUGUAGUAUUACACGUGGCCGAGGACCAUCCUCCAGAUGCAUGUGGUACCAAUCAUUAUUGUUCAUGAUAAUGGUUUUCACCAGGAUAUGCGGCCAAUCCGAUUGACCAGGCGGUUUUCACGACCACUGGAGAUGUGCUCUAACCCAAAACGCAGCAAGUCCGACAGACGUGUAACUAACCUCCCUAUCAAAUUCAGUUUUGUAACUGACCGCCCUAUCCAAUUCAGUUCCUCUAUACUCGUAGGAACC